ensembl:snoRNA
CUUUUCAGCCAAUAAUGUUUCUAUUAAAAAAUGUCUGAACCUGUCUGAAGCAUCUUAGUUAUGCAACCCCUUUCAUUUUCAAGUUCCAUUUCUGUUAUGUUA